CCCAGCUCUGAUCCACCGCCCCCUGGUGGCCGCGCGGGGAGCCGCAGGGCCGCGCGCCCCCUUGUGCGACAUGUGCUGCUGGCCCGGGCUCCAUGAGCGUGGCGGGCACUUUGCAGUCUCGGGUGUUCCUGCUCCUUUUUCUGUUCCUAAGCCGGAGGAGAGGGGACGGGAACUGGGGAAGGCAGGCUCGUUUCUGCAAUAUCACCAAAAAAUCACAAAGAUUAGCAAAAUGCCGUCCGGACCUCAUCACUUGGGGAAACAACUCUUUAUCCCGGCUUGCAGCCACGAGGUCUUGAUUGGGGGAGGGGCGGUGAAGAAUAGUCCCUUUGCUGCUGCUUUUCGCUCUCAUUGGAGCCGUACAGCCGAGUUAACGAUUGCUGUUGAUCAUACUGGAGUAUUUCAGGUUUUUUUUUUAACAUAAGACACGAAUCUACUACUUGUGGGUGUUUUUAAACUUUAUUCUCUUACACAUUUUCACCCAUACAUUGUUGGUCUUUUAAACUCUGCUAGUAUUGCCUGGCUAUGUUAUCCUCGGUUUUGCAAAUGAAUGUAAUUAGUUGAUAUAAGGGGGUUGGAAAAGAGAAAAUUUAAAUAUGGAUUUGUAGGGUGGUAGUAAUUUUGAGCAAAUAUGUUUGUCUUUUUUCCCUAUGUCCCCCUCCCCCAUCCUAGUCAUACACGUGGACCUAACUGCACCAGAAGCUUUUCUAAGGAUACUUGCUGGAAAGGAAGUUUUCCCGAGUGGGUAAGUGUAUUCUAAUUUUUUUUGUUAACUUUUCUUAAAAACAGAUGUCUCUUGACUUGCAUAAAUAAGAUGGGAUUGGGUUUUCAAAGAGUGAAAUAGGUAUUUUGUACUUUGUCCAUUUACCUUUUCUAGAAAAUUAACUCCGUAUGGGUCAGCUAAUUUUUACGUUAGUAAAAGUACGGUGCAAAAAUCGUUAUAAAUCUUUGGAAACUGAUGCAGGGUUUACAAAAUGUAAUUUUAGAACUCCUUUAAAUUGGGUGAUAAAAUAGAUCUAAUCUGGAGUAAGUUUUCAGGGUUUAAAAUAAUUUAAACACAUAUUUAAGUUCUACAACCAGUUAAUGCACUUGAAAGGUAGUCUGAAGAGUAAUUUUAUUAAUCAGUUUACCAAGUAUUUGCUAAUUGGAAACCGGAAGAAAAGAAAAAUGUUUUGCCACGUGGAUGUGAAGAUUUCCUCUGAAAGGUACUUGAGUCAAAUUGCCCUGUUGAUAAAUUAGUUCUCAUUCAUAUGCGUCAGAUUUUCACUUUUUAAGUCAUGCCUUGGGGAAUGGCCUGGUAAAGGAAGAGCCACCACUUUGUCUUACAGUGUUAGAAUGAUGGUUAGUUAUGAUUGUCUUGUGAAAAAGAUUUUUCUUCUAAUUUUAAUGUCUAAAUGUGCUUCUAAAUGGAACUUGCAGGUUUAAGAUAAUUAAACUCAUUCUGCUUUCUACCAUUAGGGAUUAUGCUGGAUUUUGUAUGUUUUAUAGCUGUUAGAGUUUGAGGUGUUAUUCUGUCUAAUUAUUUAUUUCAAAUUUAGCAGGAAUACAGAGAACUUCACCUUGUAAAACUGAAGAUUGUGACCAGUCAGAAUAAUGUCAAAGUGCUUACAGUGCAGGUAGUGAUAUGUGCAUCUACUGCAGUGAAGGCACUUGUAGCAUUAUGGUGACAGCUGCCUCGGGGAGCCAAGGGGGGCUUUGAAGCGCAGGGCCUGCUGGUGUUGAGUGCUUUUUGUUCUAAGGUGCAUCUAGUGCAGAUAGUGAAGUAGAUUAGCAUCUACUGCCCUAAGUGCUCCUUCUGGCAUAAGAAGUUAUGUUUUCAUCCAAUAAUUCAAGCCAAGCAAGUAUAUAGGUGUUUUGAUAACUUUUUGUUUGCAGUCUUCUGUUAGUUUUGCAUAGUUGCACUACAAGAAGAAUGUAGUUGUGCAAAUCUAUGCAAAACUGAUGGUGGCCUGCUAUUUCCUUCAAGUGAUUUUUACUAAUUUUGUGUACUUUUAUUGUGUCGAUGUAGAAUCUGCCUGGUGUAUCUGAUGGUGACAGCUUCUGUAGCACUAAAGUGCUUAUAGUGCAGGUAGUGUUUAGUUAUCUACUGCAUUAUGAGCACUUAAAGUACUGCUAGCUGUAGAACUCCAGCCUCGGCCUGUCGCCCAAUCAAACUGUCCAGUUACUGAACACUGUUCUAUGGUUAGUUUUGCAGGUUUGCAUCCAGCUGUGUGAUAUUCUGCUGUGCAAAUCCAUGCAAAACUGACUGUGGUAGUGAAAAGUCUGUAGAAAAGGAAGGGAAAAUCAAACCCCUUUCUACACAGGUUGGGAUCGGUUGCAAUGCUGUGUUUCUGUAUGGUAUUGCACUUGUCCCGGCCUGUUGAGUUUGGUGGGGAUUGUGACCAGAAGAUUUUGAAAAUUAAAUAUUACUGAAGAUUCACCUUCUACUUUUAAAUGUUCCAGAGAUGUGAAAUAAAAAAUCUUUGUAAUUUUAAUUACUUUGUCACUGUAAAAAUCAUACAUACAACUCUUUGUUCCUUGAAAUCAAGGUUUAUCAUAUUUUUGUACUAAAACAUUCUACCUCUGAGGUUGCAUGUCAGAUUUGACUGUUAAGUUUUUAUUGUAUUUUUUUUGUCGAAUUAGAUUUAUUUCGUUAUCAAGUAUUUUAUUAUGAAUGUCUGUAAAGGAAAUUUACUUUAAUAAAUGACUGAUGAUAAUCUGUAAAGUUUGAGGAUAUGCUUUUUUGCUACCGGAUAUUUUACUUGAUCUAAAAGUUAAUUAAUAAGUCAUGUUACUUGUACAUUAUUCAAGUAUUUAAAUUUGGUGAAAAUGCUAUUCUGUUUAAAGCAAUGUGUAAAGAAAGUUUUUUUUUAUUUUUUAACACAUGGAAUUUACAUGUGGGAGGGGAGGUUGUGUUGUUUCUGGUAACCAAAUACUAUUUUACCAGUACUGGUGUUCUUGAUGUUAACUGGUUAUGUACUAGUUUUCAUAGUAAUUAAUGAUAUAUAAACUGUUAGUGAUCUGUAGACUGUUCUUUGCUUUCUGGAACUUAAAAAAUAUAAGUUAAAAAGAAAACAAGGCAUGCUGAUGAUAAAGGGAGUGACAGAUAUGUGUUAUGCAUACACAUCUGUAAUGCCAAGAGUGUUCCCUGCUGCCUUCAGAAACCACUUUCGCAAGGAUGACAGUUGGUUCUAGGCUUAUGUGACUUAUGUCACUGGAGGGGAACCUAAGAAGUGGCAGUUACAGUAUUUUUUCCAACAUUUCUGCCUUUUCUUUUCAUGUGUUUUGUCUCUAGCCUGGGUUUCAUAUGUGUGUAAAAAUGUGGGUUAACUUAAGAAGGAUCAGAUUUAAAAGGAUCAAUUGUUAAAUUGGACCCAAGCUGAAUUUUGGAGGAAAGAUGCUAUCUUAGUAAUAUGAAAUAAAUAUCUGUCACCUUAUUUGUUACACCACCUGAUAAAUUUAGAAAGCAUUUUUUAAAUAGGUUAUGUGAAGUCAAACAAGAAAAGUUUAACUUCUAAUGUAUCCCUUCUUUAAGAAAUUUAAGGAGUUUAAUUAUGGGUCCCUGAAUAGAAAGGUAAGAGUUUCAGUUAUGGAGUUGAUGAAAAGGUAAAUUUUCAGAAUGAGAAAAUAUUAAGAAUUAUGUAGUGAUUUAUGAAAUGGAAAUCUAAUUGUUCUUUGGUUUGAGUUCUUAAACCUUUUGAAUUGAAGGAGACCUGAAAAUUGUUUUGUUUUGGUUAUUUAAUGACAGACAUUGCUUUAAACUAAAUGUUGUAAAAGUCCCAUAUGUUAGCAUGGCUUAUAGUAGUCUGCAAAACUGCGCUGUGGUUAUAAGUGAGAAGAGUGAUGUUUACAUCUGUCAAACCAUAUAAAGCUUUUGGGGAAAUAGGCUUGUAUAAUUCUUUGAAGUGGAAGUGAUAAGAAGCAUGCCAGUUGAUUUCUGUAGUACACUAAAACGUAAGUCAAAUAAAUUUUAAAAACAAAACCUUUAGAAAAAUGGUUAACUGUUUCUCUCUAGAUACAGAACUUCUGUUGUAUUUGUGUUCAGAACUUAGUUGGACUUUAGCUGGGACUUAUAUCUAGUAAACAAGUUAAUAAGUGUGUAUGUUUUCUUGGGUUGGCAGUGAGGCUGAGGUUGUAUAGGGUUUAGUAGGAAUUGCAUUUUGUUUGUUUCUGGCUUUACAAUGUGGCAAAUUUUAUGUUCUUGAUCCUGUUAAGAUUUUCUUAGGCAUGACAACAUAGUAGUUUUCAAGUAGCACUAACAAAAUGCCAUGCAGGUUAGUUCUCAACUGAUUUUGUUGCCUGGAUGAAGCAAGGCUUUGCUUGUAAUAUUUUUUAUCACUAUUCUCUUUGUUUUUCCUCCAGAAUCUCAAAUCCCCGUCUUUGCCAACCCCAGCAGGUCGUGCGGUGCACACAGUGGCCCCUCAAGGAGGGGACUCAGGAGGCAUAUAAAGGCAAACCUGUCUAAGCAGAGCAAGCCAGACUUGGGUUUUUCCCUGUAGUUUGAAGAACCCUACAGAAUGAUUCCUGACAAAAUGCAACCUGCAACUGCCUGGAGAACAAUUCAUUGUCACAUCAAAGUUUAUUAUGUAUUUAAUGAAAUACUGUUCUCAGUAAUUCAUGACCCGGUGUAGUUUGUCUAUGAGAGAACUAGGAAUCUGAACUGAGCACUAAAGGUAAGGGGAGCUCAGUGUAAAGGCCAAUUUUUGGUGUCUGACUGGAAAUGAGAUCAUCAUGCCUGCUUGAGACUUUGCAGAUUGUCCUUUGCUUUAGAGGUUGUUUUACAGCUUACAUUGUGCUUAAAGUCUGAAUUAAUGUAGUUUUCUGUUUUGAUAAAGUUCAGAAUGUAAUAUUCUUAAUGAGUUUUAAAGGAUAACUAAGAUGGAUGUAUCUCCCGUGAAUUUGAAGACUAUGGAAAAAUUGUUAAAGAAGGUUUAGUUUUCUUUUUCCAAUAAUUUGAACACAGACAUAGCGUUCAGAGAUGCCUGCUUUUGUAUCUGCAAUUUAGGUAUGCUGUUUGUUUUAGUGCAUUUAAUGUAAAUAAAUUACGUGUUUUAAAAUUACUUGUUAAGAAAUUGUCCAGAAUGAGCAUAUUGAAAUAAAAAUCUUAAGGUUA